rnacentral:misc_RNA from 1 species
AUCCCCCAUUGCAACGCCAAGGACUCCACUUACGCGGUAUCACCAUGCUGAUCAAGGAGUACCGCAUUCCGUUGCCCCUCACCGUCGAGGAGUACCGGAUCGCCCAGCUCUACAUGAUUGCGAAAAAGAGUCGCGAGGAGAGUCAUGGCGAGGGCAGUGGCGUUGAGAUAAUCAUCAAUGAGCCGUAUAAGGAUGGACCCGGCGGAAAUGGUCAAUACACAAAGAAGAUCUAUCACGUGGGCAAUCAUCUGCCUGGUUGGAUCAAAAGUCUCUUGCCGAAAAGCGCUUUAACCGUGGAGGAGGAGGCAUGGAAUGCCUAUCCGUAUACCAGGACUCGCUACACCUGUCCGUUUGUGGAGAAGUUCUCGCUGGACAUUGAGACAUACUAUUAUCCGGACAAUGGCUAUCAGGACAAUGUCUUUCAGCUGUCCGGAAGCGAUCUGCGUAAUCGCAUCGUGGACGUGAUUGACAUUGUGAAGGACCAGCUGUGGGGCGGCGACUAUGUAAAGGAGGAGGAUCCCAAGCACUUUGUGUCGGACAAGACGGGCCGUGGACCCUUGGGCGAGGACUGGCUGGAGGAGUAUUGGCGGGAAGUGAAGGGCAAAAAGCAGCCAACACCGCGCAACAUGUCCCUGAUGACCGCCUACAAGAUCUGCCGCGUGGAGUUCCGCUACUGGGGCAUGCAGACCAAGCUGGAGAAGUUCAUCCACGACGUGGCGCUGCGCAAGAUGAUGCUGCGUGCCCAUCGUCAGGCGUGGGCAUGGCAGGACGAAUGGUUCGGCUUGACCAUCGAGGAUAUCCGCGAACUGGAGCGACAGACGCAGCUGGCCCUGGCCAAAAAGAUGGGCGGCGGCGAGGAGUGCAGCGACGACAGCAUCUCGGAGCCGUACGUCAGCACGGCGGCCACCGCCGCCUCCACAACGGGCAGCGAGCGAAAGAAGUCCGCUCCGGCUGUACCGCCGAUUGUCACCCAGCAGCCGCCGAGCGCCGAGGCCAGUUCGGAUGAGGAGGGCGAGGAGGAGGAUGACGACGAGGACGAGAACGAUGCCAUUGGCACGGGCGUGGAUCUGUCCGCCAACCAAGGCGGAUCCGCGCAGCGCUCGCGCUCCCAAAGUAUUCAGAUGGCCCAGAAGGGCAAGUUUGGGUCAAAGGGCGCCCUUCACUCGCCGGUGGGAUCUGCCCACAGCUUUGAUCUCCAGUCCAAAAAGCCGCAUGCAAAGACAGCGCAACGCAGACAUGUGGCAAACUGGCGUAUGGAGCGAUUGGAAGUGGACUCCAAAUCCAAUUCGGAUGAGGAAUUCUUUGAUUGCCUAGACACCAAUGAGACGAACUCGCUGGCCAAGUGGAGCUCGCUGGAGCUGCUGGGCGAGGGCGACGACAGUCCGCCGCCACAUGGCGGACCCUCUAGUUCAGCAUCCGUGGGUGGGCGGGGCAACUCGCGGCAAGAGGACAGCAUAUUCAAUCAGGACUUCUUGAUGCGCGUGGCCUCGGAGCGCGGUAACAAGCGCCAGUUACGCUCCUCGGCCAGCGUGGAUCGCAGCCACGAUUCGUCACCGCCGGGAUCACCGAGCACGCCGUCUUGCCCCACAACCAUUCUGAUCCUGGUGGUCCAUGCGGGCAGCGUUCUGGAUGCGGCUAGCGAGCUGACCGCCAAGAAAUCCGAUGUGACCACUUUCCGUGGCUCCUUCGAGGCGGUGAUGCGGCAGCACUAUCCCAGCCUUCUCACUCAUGUGACCAUCAAAAUGGUGCCGUGCCCCUCAAUUUGCACCGACGCCUUGGGCAUUCUCUCCAGCCUGAGUCCGUACUCCUUUGAUGCAUCGCCCUCGGCGGCGGAUAUACCGAAUAUAGCCGAUGUCCCUAUUGGAGCCAUACCGCUGUUAUCCGUUGCAUCGCCAGAAUUCCACGAGACGGUCAACAAGACGGUUGCCGCUGCCAAUAUUGUCUACCAUGAGUUUUUGAAAUCGGAGGAGGGACACGGAUUCUCCGGCCAGAUUGUCAUGCUGGGCGAUUCGAUGGGCUCGCUGCUGGCGUACGAGGCUCUCUGCCGAUCAAAUGGUAGCCAACCGGGCACGGCUUCGGGCGCCUCGAAUUCCGGUGGAGAUGCAGCCACAAAUAUGAAUACCCACAAUCCGUUGAGCGCUCGAAAUUCGAGGUUGGACGACGAUGAGCGUUUCAUCGAAGCCGAUCUGGAUGCCAAGCGUUUGCUGGUGGCGCCAUCGCCACGUAGACGCCGUUCCAGCUCCUCCAGCGAUUCGCGGGCCACCAAAUUGGACUUCGAGGUCUGUGAUUUCUUCAUGUUCGGAUCGCCGCUGUCCGUGGUACUUGCUGCAAGGAAACUUCACGAUGCCAAAGCCGCCCUGCCGCGGCCCAACUGCCACCAGGUCUACAAUCUGUUCCAUCCAACCGAUCCUAUCGCCUCGCGCCUGGAGCCGCUACUCAGCGCCCGGUUUUCUAUAUUGGCGCCCGUCAAUGUGCCACGGUACGCCAAGUACCCGCUGGGAAAUGGUCAGCCAUUGCAUUUAUUGGAGGUCAUUCAGUCGCAUCCGCAGCACUUCAACGAUGGCAACAACCUAUUGGCUGGUCGCCGUUUGUCGGACGCAUCGAUGCAGAGCACGAUAUCGGGUCUGAUUGAGAAUGUCUCGCUUAGUACGAUCCAUGCCCUGCAAAACAAAUGGUGGGGCACAAAGCGCUUGGAUUUCGCUUUAUAUUGCCCGGAGGGAUUGAGCAACUUCCCGGCUCACGCCUUGCCGCACCUCUUCCACGCCAGCUACUGGGAGAGUCCGGAUGUGAUUGCCUUCAUCCUUCGGCAGAUUGGCAAAUUCGAGGGCAUACCCUUUGUGGGCUCCAACGAUGACAAGGACAAUGCCUCCUUCCAUCCGGGACAGCCGAGGGAGAAGUGGAUCAAGAAACGCACCUCGGUGAAGCUGAAAAAUGUGGCCGCCAAUCAUCGGGCCAACGAUGUGAUCGUGCAGGAGGGCAGGGAGCAGCGAUUGAAUGCGAGAUUUAUGUACGGACCCCUAGACAUGAUCACCCUGCACGGUGAGAAGGUGGAUGUGCACAUUAUGAAGGAUCCGCCGGCGGGCGAGUGGACAUUCCUCAGCACCGAGGUGACGGACAAGAACGGUCGCAUCUCGUACAGCAUUCCGGAUCAGGUAUCCCUUGGCUAUGGCAUAUACCCGGUAAAGAUGGUGGUGCGUGGCGAUCACACCUCGGUCGAUUGCUAUAUGGCGGUGGUUCCGCCGUUGACCGAAUGCGUGGUCUUCAGCAUUGAUGGCUCCUUCACCGCUUCCAUGUCGGUGACGGGCAGGGAUCCCAAGGUACGUGCCGGAGCUGUUGAUGUCUGCCGCCACUGGCAGGAGCUGGGCUACCUGCUCAUCUACAUCACCGGACGACCGGAUAUGCAGCAGCAACGCGUGGUGUCCUGGCUGAGCCAGCACAACUUCCCGCAUGGCCUGAUCUCGUUCGCCGACGGCCUGUCCACCGAUCCAUUGGGCCACAAGACGGCCUAUCUCAACAAUCUUGUGCAGAACCAUGGAAUCUCAAUUACCGCCGCCUACGGCAGCAGCAAGGACAUUAGUGUCUACACGAAUGUUGGCAUGCGAACCGAUCAAAUAUUCAUCGUGGGCAAGGUUGGCAAGAAGCUGCAGUCCAAUGCCACCGUGCUUAGCGAUGGCUAUGCCGCCCACUUGGCCGGUUUGCAGGCUGUGGGUGGUUCGCGUCCGGCGAAGGGCAAUGCACGCAUGGUCAUUCCCCGUGGAUGCUUCAAUCUUCCCGGCCAGACCGCGAAUCCGCGCCGCAGAAGCAACGAGACGGGACUCUCAUCACCCAUACGCAGUGGUUACCUGAAGCGCAAGACCUACCUGAGCCACCACUAGAGCAGCAGAGAUGCAGAUGCAGCUAUAUAGAUCGAUCCAUCAGAUAGAAGUGAAACCAAUGUACUCAGAAAACCCCAAUAGAAAUCCCCUCGAAAUAGCGAAAAACAUGUAUAGAGCCAAUGGACAACAAGACCGAUGCCUCCAUAUGCCACAUCUGUGUAUAUACCAUAUAAAUAUAUAUAUUUAUAUACUAUGCGCGAUAUAAUGAAAGUUAAUGGUGUAAUAUAUACAUAUAUAUAUCGAAUACCAAAUUUGCAAAUGAGUAAAAAACAAUUGUACAACAUUUAACGAAAGUCAAAUGUGUCACGCGGUACCUGGAAAGAAAGACUGUUUCCUCCUGUUGUUUGAUGGUUUUUCAAACCACUUAAAAAGCAU